AUUGAACGCUGGCGGCAGGCCUAACACAUGCAAGUCGAACGAGUGGCGGACGGGUGAGUAAUGUCUGGGAAACUGCCUGAUGGAGGGGGAUAACUACUGGAAACGGUAGCUAAUACCGCAUACCAUCGGAUGUGCCCAGAUGGGAUUAGCUAGUUGGUGGGGUAACGGCUCACCUAGGCGACGCUCCCUAGCUGGUCUGAGAGGAUGACGAGGCACACUGGAACAGAGACACGGUCCAGACUCGUAGGAGAGGCAGCAGUGGGGAAGAGUGCACAAUGGGGGCAAGCCUGAUGCAGCCAUGCCGCGUGUAUGAAGAGGGCCUUCGGGUUGUAAAGUAGUUUCAGCGGGGAGGCGUUACCCGCAGAAGAAGCGCCGGCUAACUACGUGCCAGCAGCCGCGGUAAUUC
rnacentral:rRNA from 1 species